UCUGUGAUUUCCAUUCCUGGUCAACUGAGCUCAGUGGAUGUAACUUCAACGGAAGGCCAGUCAGAGGCAGCCAUGGUGGGACAGUGGCUCUCUUCCUAUAAGAAGACACUUGGGACAAGAGGACAUUUGCCCACUGGGGAGCACAGGUUUGGGACCUGGGGUUGGGGACCUGGGGCUCAGCUUGUCUCUCGGGUCAGAGAAAGAGGCUUCUGUGAUGGCGGCUGAGAUAGGGAACCAAAUCAAACAACCAAAUUAGCAAAUACCACAAACUGGGCCAGUUUGUCUGGUUGACACCAGCUCUCUGACCACAGAGACCUUCCUUGGAAAAGUGACUGCAGAGGCAGCAAGUAAGGGCUGCCAGACCCAGCCUCAGCCAGUGCCCGGUGAUGACCGAAACCCCCAGGUUGGACGAAGGCUCACAGUGCUGUGUUGUGAUUGACUCUGCGUAUACUCAGCUGACUGACAUACAAAUAUGCCACCCUGCCACAGCCAUCCUUCCUGAGCUGGAUGAGAAGGGAAAGGGCAAGACAAUACCUUAUAUCCAUAGUAACCAAGCCACUCCAUGCCCAAACCCUUCAGUGAUUCCCAACAGGCCUCAGGAUAAAGUCCAAGGUCGCUGACAUUGGUGAAAAGUCCCUUCGUCCUCUGGCCCCUCCCUGAAAGAUUUCUAAUCUCCUCUCUCCCCAGCCAUCCCACCUUCCUCUCUCUCUCUUCACAAAUACUCUACUAUUCCACCCAUAAGCCAUGAUAACUAUUUUUUAAAUUUAAUUUUUUAAAUUUAAUUUUUUAAGCUUAAUUUUUAUUUUAUAUUGGAGUACAGUUGAUUUAUACUGUUGUGUUAGGUUCAGGUGUACAGCUAAGUGAUUCAUUUAUACAUAUACAUAUAUCCAUUCUUUUACAGAUUCUUUUCCCAUAUAGGUUAUUACAGAACAUGAUGACUAUUUACAGGUUUUAAAAAAUAAUAAUAUUCUGUCUUUUUCACUUUCCCUCUGCCAGCAAGCCACUCCCUCUGCCUGGAGUACCUAUCCCUAAUCUCUACCUGACUAAUCUCAGAACUUCAGAAACUAGUUCAAUUCUUCCCUGAACAGUCCCCAUUCUGUGUUACCUAGGCAGCUGUUGGUGUCUGUGUUUGUUCUUGUCCUGGUGCCUAUUCUGCUCUUUUGGACCUGAAUCUCCUCUGGUCUGUCCCUUUGUAAGAUGUGAGCUCCUGCAGGGCAGAAACAACAUUCUCUACUCUCCUUUGACUCCUAUGGAGUGCCUUGUCCAUAAUAGAUACAUAAUGAAUGUGUGUUCAAAUGUGUGGUCAGUGCAGAGCAUACGUGAACAUGAGCUGUCUCAAUGUGUGGCUGUGAGAGGGCACAUUCUCUUACAUCCUCUGUCUGAUGCAGCAGAGCCUAGUUUCCUCCCCAUUGUUGGGGCUCUCCCUUUCUGGUGCUUUUUGUCCUUCUAUGCUGGCCCAUGUCAAACACGCCUUCUUUGUGUGUUGUGUUCAGCCUGUGCUUUCUUCCUUGCUGGAUCUUUAGCCUCUGAAGAGCAGGAACAUAUCUUUCUCAAUCUUGGUUCCUCUUUCUAUUCAGGGUCUUGGCAGACUUUUGCAUAUAAGAGAACUUAAUAAGGGUUGGCUGGAUUUUCUAGGAUGAUACAGUUCACAAAAAGACAAAACUGGGAUCAAAAAUUCCAAAGGGUAUAUAUCCAAGAAUCUCUUUACAUAGGUGAGAUAGAGUGUGCUACGUUCAUAAGUGUUUUGCUACCUGUGGCCCUCUCCCCUAGGGAGUAUCCUUCCCUAUCUCGUUAAUGAUGGCAACCCUGGUCAUGUGACUUUUGUAGCAUAUAAAAUGUAAACCUUAAGAGCCACGUUCAUGCCACAGCCACGAAAGGCCAAAGAGUCACGACCCCAAAACGUAGUGUGGGGUGCUGGAUGGGAUCCUGGAACAGGAAAAGGACAGUAGGAAAAAACUGAAAAGAUGGGAAUCAGGUAUGAACUUACAAUAAUGUAUUCAUAUUGAUUCGCUAAUUGUAAUAAACAUACCAUAGUAAUGUAAAGUGUCUGUAACAGGGGAAAUUGGGUGUGGUUAUAUGAGAACUCUUUGUACUAUCAUCACAUGUUUUCUGUAAAUCUAAAGUUUUAAAAAAUAAAGUUAUUUAAAAAAAAGAAAGAGCCACUUUCAGUACACCCUCUUUCCUCUCUGCUGUGAGGACUGACCAUGUUCCAGAUUGAGGCUGCUCUGUAAGCCUGCAUCCUGAAGCCAAAUUAAUGUGUAGCAGUGCUGCAGCUGACCCUCAGUGUACAUGUAAGGUGAGCAAGCAAUAAGCCUUUGUUAUUUUAAGGCACUGAAUGUGGGCUCAUUAGUUAGUGCAGCAUGACUUAGCCUAUCCUGACUGAUAAACUGGGACAUACAGGAAUGAACUUCUUUCUUCCAAGGAGAUUGCAAUCCUAGUUCUGUUUGACUUUGCCCAAAGGGAAAAUGCAUGCUUAAGUCCAGUGCAUGCUGAGUAGUAGCUGAGACAGUGACUCAGGUGUGUGUACGUGCUGUGUGUGGUGUGUGUGUGGAUAUGUGUGCACAUGUGUGAGAAUAGGUGACUGUGUAUGAAUAGGUGACUGUGUGCAGGGGUGGGAUGCAGGAGCAGCGGGGAGGGGAAGGGGAAUGGAGGAGCCAGCCUGGGCUUACACAGUACACAGCAAGGAGCAUUUGCCUGUGGGCAACUGAUCUUUUGCUCCAAAUGACUUUCUGUCUGCGGUUGGGAAGCUAAAUAAACCUGUUCCUCACUCUAGCCACAGGACUAUGUGCCCAACCACAUGAUACAUCAGGCUCGGGCAGUUAAGGCAGAGUGCCACCUGCUGGGCUUUUCAAGCCAGUGCAACUAUUUCCAAUUUUAGCAGAGUUCCUCCCUCAGAAGUCUGGUUCAGACCCACAGGGUGGAGGCCUCAGAUGCCAAGGUGACCCUGGUGAUCGCUUCACUUCACUUUACAGGCAGAGAAACUAAGGACCUCAGCCAGUAUGUUUUCUUCUGACAGCCUCUCAAGCUGGGCCACACUACCCCUAGAAGGAGGGACCAGCUACUUCUCCAUUGGUGCCAGUACAAUUCCAAGUUUCCCUUGCUGGUUAAAGAUGGUGGUGGGGUUCAAAGAAGACAGACAGGUUUGGGUCAGUGCAUGGGGUGGGGAAGAGGCAAGGACUCUGUGUGGCUCAAUAAAGCCAACCUGGAUGGAGAGUGAGAGAAGGUUCCUUGCAAUGGCUUCCAUUUACUGAACAUUGACUACGUAAAAUGCAAGACUCUUUAGGUUGUUGUCCCCAGUCUCUGCCGGAAAAGCAGUACCUUCAUUUAGCAAAUGAGGAAACUGAAAUCUAGAGAGGUUAAGUAACUGUCCCAGAGUCACGUAGCUGGUAAAUGGUGGGGUCAGAAUUCAAACCCAUGUCAAUUUUGUUCUAAGACUGAACUCUGCACUGUAUCAUGCCAUCUCGCCCCCAAACCAUAGACUCUCCAUGCCUCUUGACUGCAUCCUUCCUGCACAGGAACUGUGGAUAGACAGGGUUCAGCAUGCACUGGCCACAUGGCAUGGUUCUUUCAGGGAGUCAAUAGACUACAGAAUGAGGGCUUGCUGAGCAGACACCAGGUGUGUGCAGGGAGCAAAGCCUCGACUGUAGAUGACCCCAGUCACAUGUGAAACCACUGCCUCAGAACAUCAUGCAAGUCCUUAAAUGAUGCAGCUUACAUUGAUGGAGGACCUAUCAGUGCCAAGCCCUGUGUUUAGUGAAGAAACAGGCAGUGAGUGGGGCAGGAAGACAAGUGACUGGGUGAUUACAACAGAGCAUGAUACUCUCCAGCCAGCUAAGGGCAGCACUUGAAGGCAGCCUUAGGAUAUUUAAAUCUCCCCUGGGGGUCACAAAAGUCUUCCAGACAAGCAGAUAUGGAGCAUAGACCCCUGCCAUCUUUUCCCUUUAAGAAUCACUACUCCAACAAAUCACCUUUUCAAAAGAGCAGGGAAGAAGUUAUGAAGCACAGGUCUACCUGUGGAAAGCCUCAAAGUGCUGGAGUGUGCCCCUGGAUUGUGAGGAUAUGGGGACCUCUGGCCCAACCUGGAGGUAGAAGGAGCUUGUAAUCAGCUGCAUGUGCUCCUUUGUUGACACCUGCAGGCGUCCUGGGUAGAUGCCUGGCCUUGCUCACCUCUUUACAAGGUUGCUGGUUCCUGCUGUCUGAUUCUGUCUUUUCUACUUUCCCUUUCUCCAUGGCACCCACUCUACAACCACAGGUCACCAGCCCCCUGGGAUAGCAAAGCCAAUGUUAUACUAUGAACUACCCCAGUCUGUUCUAAGGAGUGUCAAAAUGAGCAUAUUUAGAUCCAAGACCAAUUUUACAACUCUCCACACAGAGGUCCAGUCUUAAUAUAAGACAUGAUGGGAGACCAGUAGGAAACUUUAUUAAGAUUAUGAUAGCUGAUGACACUUUCCUGGCUAUCCACAAAGAGAAUAGCAUGCAUUGCAUGUACACAACACACACACACACACACACACACUUUGCAGGGAGCCAAGGCACAAAGCCUCACAUCCUGACCUAGUCUCAUGCAGAGAAUGGAUAAGGAUAUUCAAUGAAGGUUUGAAUGGAAUGUGGCUGACUGCUAUCAAUCAGCCUUAAAACACCACAAGCUAAUCUCUUACCCUCUCGCAACAGAGAAGCUCUAGCUCUGUGCACAUCUUGCCAUUCUCUCUAUUUCCUCAAGGCCAUUAUGAUCAAGAAUGAGGGCUCCUGGCCAGUUCCACAGAAGCCAGAAUGGAAUGUCUCAGCAUUCCAAGCAUUCCAUCAGACAUCACCCGGAGUUUUCUCUACCAAAUACUGUACCAAUGCAAGUUUUCAGCCUAGCCAUCAGGGGAGAGUAGAGUUAGCCAAAACGACGAGCUUGCAUGAAAGACACACAUUUUGAGUCCCAGCUCUUCAGGUACAAGCUGUGUGGUCUUGGACAAAGUUUGUUACCUCCUUGGGACUGCUUUUCCUCAUUUGCAAUAAAGUAAUUUUUAUCUUUUACAGUAGUAAUGAAUACUAUAUAGGAUAAGGGUGUUAAAAUCAUAGUUUAGUGCCUUGCUUAUAGUAGUAAAGCUCACUGCUUUUAAGUAUAAAUAUAUACAUAUUUAUAUUUAUUUUAAGUAUCUAAUAUUUAAUUAAAUAUAAAUAAAUAUUAAACAUAUUGAAUAUGUAAUAAAAUAUAUUAGAUAUUAAAUACACAAAAUAAUAAAAUAUUUAGUUAUAUUUAAGCAUAUUUAUUUUAUAUAUGUAUAUAAAACUGGCCCCAGACUGUAUGUGUGUAUUGGUUCCCUGGAGGGAGGCAAUUUACUCCUAAGGCUGAGGAAUCUUAAGAUACAGAUGCGGAUUUUAGCUAAGCUUACUCUGAGCCACUGGGAGGAAUCCAUACAAAAUGUUCUGGUAUCUGGGUGGCCCCACCCCAUCCUUACCUCUUGACAGGUUUUCCAUGACUGUGACUAGUUAUGAGAAGAAAAGAUUAAGUAAAGAUUAGAGUGAGUCACCUCAUAUUGAGUCAGCUUGAAAAGGAAGCUGAGAAAGACUCCAGCAAACCUGACAUUGUUAUGGGCAGGUGAGGAAACUGAGACCUGGGAAAAGGAAAUGACUUGCUCAGGAUCAGACAGGUUGCCAGUGGCAGAACCAAGGCAGCAACUCAGGUCUAGGGACUCUCUGCCCAUUGCUCUUUAUAUGGAGCUAUAUUUAGUGCCUACUAAAACAAAUGGAAGGUGAACCUCCUUGCUGCCUCAGCCCUUGAGGGCAGAGGAGACUCAAGCCCAAGGGUUACCCGGACAGCUGAGGACACAGAGAAUGGUUUCCUUAAUAUGUUGCUGAAGAGAGAGAUGGAAGCAGAAAUGUCUGAUACCUGACAGCAAAAUAUCCAGAAGACAGAGGGCUAAAUACCAGGGGGUUGGGGGGCAACAGUGACAGUUCUCUGCCCCUGGACGGCCUGAGACAGUGCUUACACACAUGAACACACAAACACACACAUGAACACACACUAAAACAGAAAGCAUCACUGUGACUUAGGAGACUUCAGCAGACUUGGGAACAGGACAAGUCCACUGUCUCUUCUGUUCCAGGCGCCAGUAAUGGAAAACCAGGCCAGGGUCCGUACACAGACAUGUAGGGGAAGGCAGAGCAGAACCAACGGGGACGUAUCCACAGACAGGGCUCUGGACAAAGGAGUCCUGGUAGCUGAAGCUAGAGCCUCUCUGCUGAAAUCCUGCAAGGAGCAGGCUGAUGCCUGUCACAGCCAAGGCCUCUGGGACGCUGCUCCAGAUUCUGUUCUCAGCGGUCAAAGUCAGCCUCCACAACUGCAGAAUUUACAUUGAAUAAUACCCCUGUGUGUGUCAUUGAUAUGAGCGUGUAUCCCUGUAUAAACAUAUAUGAGUGUGUGACUGUGUGAACGUGCUGCUUUUGCCUUACCAAUGGAUCAGUGGUCAGCAGGGAGGUCCAGACCAAUGCUGGUCCCUAAACUGCUUCACAUCCUCUUCUCCGCCUACUCCUUCCAACUCUGUAGAUACUUUUCCAUGGUUUGGCUUAGAUUAGCUGAAGAACUCAAACCCAAAUAUUUCAGUAGCAAUGCCUGCGUAACUAGAGGAAAUAUGAACAUCAGCAGAUCCAUGAGUUUUCAGUGUAAAAUCCUAUCAAUCUUUUCUGGCCUAAGCCCUCACUACCCAGAACAGAUUUUCUGGGGUAGAGUCUGCUAUCUCAAGCAUGAAUCAUGUAGUAUUGCUGUUACCACCAGAGGACAGAAGAAAUGGGUACUCUAGUAGCCACAGGUACAACUAAACACUUUUCCUGGGCAUUUGGAAUGGUAUUGUUCCCUGACUUUUGUUAGCAUCGCUCUUUCUCUUUCUCCAAGACUCUGUUGCUUAUGUACACACACACACACACACACACACUCAGGCAGAGGCACCACUGUGACCAAGGAGGUCUCAGCAGCCUUAGGCAAAGGCUAAGCCCACUGUGUCUUCUGUGGCAGGUAUCUGUGAAGGAACACCAGGUCAGGGCCCGUGCACAGACAUGCAGGGGAAGGCAGAGCAGAACAAAUGGGACCGCGUCAAAAGACAGAGCUCCAGACAAAGGACUCCUGGUGGCUGGAGCUAGAGCCUCUCUUCUAAAAAACAUUGCCAGCUGGGGAUGCCCAGGGGCACGGCACGAUGUGUGCCCAGCAUCUGGGCUGGUGAGAGAGGCCCUCACUUUCCCAGGGUGCCUGUGGUUGGGGGAUGAGGGAGGGGCAGGCCUCCACUGCCUGUCAGAAUCUCUGUUCGAGUUUGUAAUUCAGGCCUUGAAGUUUGAGCUAUUCUCAUUUUACAGCUUAGAAAGUUUAUGUUGGCUAAGGUUACUUAAGUAAAAAGUAGGGAAGAGAGGUUUUGAACCCAGCUCUGCCAGGCUCCAGGAUGGGUGUGUGUUCUCUUUCUUGCACCAUACAAGCUUCUAGGGAAUUUCUUUGUUUGGAAGAGGUAAGUUUAUUCUUCCCUGAGGAAGGCACACUUCUUUGGAAGGCCUCAGCAUCAUGCCCUUCAUCUGGGGAUCUUUGUGUUUGAAUAUACUCUCAAGGUCAAUGGGCAGAUAAUCUCCUGGAAUGUUGCAGAAGCCUGGCAAAGGGUCUGGACUGUAUGCUCUGGGGCCAUGCACAUGAGCAAGAAUGAGAAUGUGAGCAUGUGCUUUGGUGCCUGUGUUUGUGUGAGUGUGUGUAGAUGAGUGAAGACUUAUUUCAUGGUGAUUGACAGCUUGUGAUGGUUUGUGUGUGUGUGUUGUGUGUGGCCUCACGUGAGGGGUCAUGAAUGGAUCUAUGAGGGAAUAUGAACUUGAGUGUGCGAGAGUGAGUGUGCACAGGGCUGAGAGUCAAGAGGUAUGCACAUGUGUUGCUGACUCCACAGUUAAAAUGUUAAAAGAACUUCUGUAACAGGUGGCUCCUAGGCUCUGAGAGCUGCCCACCUGCGUGCCUGCACCCACCCUGGAAGGCAGCCCGCUCAGUCCUACAGCAUGGAGAAGCUGCGAGACUGACACCUGUCCCAGCGGAGGCCUCUGGGACGCUGCUGCAACUUCUGUUCUCAGUGGCCAGUGGAAGUCUCCACACUUGCAGAAUUUACGCUGAAUAACAACCCCGUGUGUAUCAUUGAUAUGAGUAUGUACCCCUGUAUUAACACGUGUCAGUGUG